rnacentral:rRNA from 1 species
GUCUAUGGCCAUGCCAUCCUGAACAAGCCCAAUCCCAUCUGAUCUUGGAAGUUAAACGGGGUCGGGCCUGGUUAGUAUUUGGAUGGGAGACCACCUAGGAAGACCAGGUGCUGUAGGCA